rnacentral:rRNA from 1 species
GAUGAACGCUAGCGGCAGGCUUAACACAUGCAAGUCGAGGGGCAGCAUACCCGGUGACGGGUGAUGGCGACCGGCGGAAGGGUGAGUAACGCGUGAGCAACAUACCCGUAUCAGUGGGAUAAUACAGGGAAAUUUGUUCUAAUAUCACAUAAUAUUAUUCAGAGGCAUCUUUGGAUAAUUAAAGUUCAGGCGGAUACGGAAUGGCUCGCGUGACAUUAGCUAGAUGGUAGGGUAAAGGCCUACCAUGGCUAUGAUGUCUAGGGGUUCUGAGAGGGAGGUCCCCCACACUGGAACUGAGACACGGUCCAGACUCCUACGGGAGGCAGCAGUGAGGAAUAUUGGACAAUGGAUGAAAAUCUGAUCCAGCCAUGCCGCGUGCAGGAAGGCGGCCCUAUGGGUUGUAAACUGCUUUUGUACGGGAGCAAUAAGGUCUACGAGUAGAUUGAUGAGAGUACUGUACGAAUAAGCAUCGGCUAACUCCG